UAAGUUAAGCAAACAAAUGGACAGAUUUUUUAAUCUUCCCUCAAGCACAGCAACACACACACACACACACACACACACACACACACGUAACCUCAAACGUGGCCUGCUGAAAUGAAAAUGCCGAAGCAGAAUAAGUGCUUGGAACAGUUUAUGUAUGUUUCAGUUCAAGGAAGUUGUUAUCUUAACGAUUUCUCUGCCUGUACUAUAUGUAAGGAAUGUGUGUGUGUGUGUGUGUGUGUGUGUGUGUACACACAUAUCUCAAUAUAUAUGUAUAAUACAGGAUUUUAGCUGUUUUAAUUCUUUCAAUUGUAAUUGUUGUAGUUCUACGUAUAUAGAAUAAAUCCAUCUGUCUUCUGCAAGGAUGGUUUGUUAAUGAUAGUUUUUUAUAAAUGGUAAGAUUCGGGAUGAUUUUUGUUUUUACACUUUUUAUGCUUCUCUAUUAUUUUUACUGUCAGGAAACAUAGUAAUUUUUUUUUUUUUUUUUUUUUUUUAAAGCAGGAGGUAAAAAACAACCUAGGCGAGGGUGUUUUCUGCCAAUUUCGAUUUGAACAUACAAUUCUUUUGUUUCUAAAGGCAUACCUUUAAAGUAUGCCUGGAAUGCAGUGCUACUUUGUAAUUGUGUUUACUUUUAGAAUGCACUUAUUAAAAUUAUUUACCUUGAAAUUUUAAAUUAAAAUUGGCCAUAUGAUACUUUUUUUUUUUACUACCUCAGUCCCAAUCUUUUUUUUUUUUUUUUUUUUAUUUUAUUUAUUCAUGAUAGGCACACAGUGAGAGAGAGAGAGAGAGAGGCAGAGACAUAGGCAGAGGGAGAAGCAGGCUCCAUGCACCGGGAGCCUGACGUGGGAUUCGAUCCCGGGUCUCCAGGAUCGCGCCCUGGGCCAAAGGCAGGCGCCAAACCGCUGGGCCACCCAGGGAUCCCAUAUGAUACCUUUUGAUACAAGUGUACUGUAUAAAAGUAGUAGACUUCUGAAUGUUUUGUAGUCACUAAUUGUGUUACCUGUUUUUAAAACUUGUUUGGUUUUGCCUUCAGGUGGUAUACUUGGCCGUGUAUUAGAGGACGCUGUAUUAGACUCAAAGUUGUCGUCAGAGUUUCCUUUAGUAAAAAAGGAAGCGAAAAAAAUUUUUUCCCUUACAGCCAGUCUGUGUCAUGUUUAUUUUCUUUUUUUUGUGAAAUACUUAUUUUAUAUUCUAGCAAUGAAUACUUUGAAAUGGCGGGCAAAUAUAGUAGAUAGUGUCAAAGGUAGAGAAGAGAGAAAAUUCCUGAUAUUCCUCGUUUUAUGAUGUGCAAAUAUAUGGGUACAAGGCUUUU
rnacentral:lncRNA from 1 species